rfam:Amphiamblys sp. WSBS2006 Amphi_1747, whole genome shotgun sequence.
CGGAGAGGGAAAGGAAGUGCUCGAGGAAGAAGAGCCUAGUCAGCGUGGAAAUCUUCUUGAGUAAACCGAUUUCUUUCUAUGUGGUUUAGAAGGACCAGGCGUGUGUCAGGCUGGAAAUAGGCAGAGAAAAUAGUUUUUCUAUAAUACUCGCACAGGAGCAAGGGAUGUGUGUUGGGGGAGAUACUCGCAAAGACAUGCGCGUGUGUUCCUAUAGUCUUCCCUCUCGAGCUUCACGCGGCAACCACAGCGCCGCCUAUGCUCGGCCCGUCAGACCCCUCGACUACAACAGCCUAUGACUUUGAAUUUCCUGCGCGGCUGUGUUCAGGUCUUGCAAAUGCUUGCAGCAUGCCGCUUCAUGUGCUGGGUAUGUCUGUCUUCUCUGUUCUACCACCCAGACCUUUUGUGUUCGAGUCGGUGCAUUUGAAACUCUCAUGCAUCUCUGGGGGAUGAGCUUUUGGGCGAUUCCGCGGAUGGUGGUGCAUGGCCGUUGUUGGUUCGUGGCGUGAGCAGUCUGGUUAAUUCCGGUAACGAGCGGCGCCUGCGUUGUAGACAGCCUGCGCGAGCAGGAGGAAGGGCAGGCGAUAACAGGUCUGUGAUGCCCCUCGAUGCCCUGGGCCGCACGCGGGCUACACUGGCACGCCGAGAAGACCCGCGAGAGGGAGCGCGUGUCGUGGCGGGGACUGCCGCCUGGAACGGCGGCACGAACCAGGAAUCCCUAGUAGGCGCGUGUCUGCACCGCGCGCCGACUGUGUCCCUGCCCUUUGUACACACCGCCCGUCGAUACUACCGAUGUGUGCUGCGCCGAGCAUGCGUGCAAGGCCCCGCACAUAGAGGAAGUAAAAGUCGUAACAAGGUUUCCGUAGGUGAACCUGCGGAAGGAUCACAG